GGUUAAGGGCUUGUCAGUCAGCAUUUCACUGUGAGGUCUACACUGUUGGUUAAGGGCUUGUCAGUCAGCAUUUCACUGUGAGGUCUACACUGUUGGUUAAGGGCUUGUCAGUCAGCAUUUCACUGUGAGGUCUACACUGUUGGUUAAGGGCUUGUCAGUAAACAUUUCACUGUGAGGUCUACACUGUUGGUUAAGGGCUUGUCAGUAAACAUUUCACUGUGAGGUCUACACUGUUGGUUAAGGGCUUGUCAGUAAACAUUUCACUGUGAGGUCUACACUGUUGGUUAAGGGCUUGUCAGUCAGCAUUUCACUGUGAGGUCUACACUGUUGGUUAAGGGCUUGUCAGUAAACAUUUCACUGUGAGGUCUACACUGUUGGUUAAGGGCUUGUCAGUAAACAUUUCACUGUGGUCUACACUGUUGGUUAAGGGCUUGUCAGUAAACAUUUCACUGUGAGGUCUACACUGUUGGUUAAGGGCUUGUCAGUAAAGCAUUUCACUGUGAGGUCUACACUGUUGGUUAAGGGCUUGUAAGUAAAGCAUUUCACCGUAAAGUCUACACUUGUUGUAUUCGGCGCGUGUGACAAAUACUGUUUUUGAUUUGAUUUGAUAACUCUUGGUGUUUUCUCAAAAGUGGUUACAUUCUGUGGAUUCUUCAAAUACCUUGAGUUGAUUUCUGACGUGAUGUUUUCUAUUUUUCUGUAGUGCAUUUCUGUGUUGUUUUAGUGACUCGCCGUAGUGAAGGCGUAGGCUGAGGUUUUCUGAGGUUUUCUGAGUCUACAGAGAGAUUCUCUCUCUCUUUUCUCCCUCCCCCUCUCGCUUUCUCUCUCUUUCUCUCUCUUUUUCUUUCUUUCUUUCUUUCUUUCUUUCUUUCUUUCUUUCUUUCUUUCUUUCUUUCUUUCUCUCUUGCAUUCUCUCUCUCUCUCUCUCUCUCUCUCUCUCUCUCUCUCUCUCUCUCUCUCUCUCUCUCUCCCUCUCUCUCUUUCUCUCCCCUCUCUCUCUCUCUCUCUCUCUCUUUCUCUCUC